rnacentral:rRNA from 1 species
AUUGAACGCUGGCGGAAUGCUUUACACAUGCAAGUCGAACGAUGAACCUUAGCUUGCUAAGGGGAUUAGUGGCGAACGGGUGAGUAAUAUAUCGGAACGUGCCUUGUAAUGGGGGAUAACUAGUCGAAAGAUUAGCUAAUACCGCAUACGCCCUGAGGGGGAAAGUAGGGGAUCUUCGGACCUUACGUUAUAAGAGCGGCCGAUAUCUGAUUAGCUAGUUGGUGGGGUAAUGGCCUACCAAGGCGACGAUCAGUAGCUGGUCUGAGAGGACGACCAGCCACACUGGAACUGAGACACGGUCCAGACUCCUACGGGAGGCAGCAGUGGGGAAUUUUGGACAAUGGGCGAAAGCCUGAUCCAGCCAUUCCGCGUGAGUGAAGAAGGCCUUCGGGUUGUAAAGCUCUUUCGCAAGGGAAGAAAACUUACCAUCGAAUAAAUGGUGAGGCUGACGGUACCUUGAUAAGAAGCACCGGCUAACUACGUG